rnacentral:rRNA from 1 species
AAGGUAGCUUGCUACUGGACCUAGCGGCGGACGGGUGAGUAAUGCUUAGGAAUCUGCCUAUUAGUGGGGGACAACAUUCCGAAAGGAAUGCUAAUACCGCAUACGCCCUACGGGGGAAAGCAGGGGAUCUUCGGACCUUGCGCUAAUAGAUGAGCCUAAGUCGGAUUAGCUAGUUGGUGGGGUAAAGGCCUACCAAGGCGACGAUCUGUAGCGGGUCUGAGAGGAUGAUCCGCCACACUGGGACUGAGACACGGCCCAGACUCCUACGGGAGGCAGCAGUGGGGAAUAUUGGACAAUGGGCGGAAGCCUGAUCCAGCCAUGCCGCGUGUGCGAAGAAGGCCUUUUGGUUGUAAAGCACUUUAAGCGAGGAGGAGGCUCCUUUAGUUAAUACCUAAAGUGAGUGGACGUUACUCGCAGAAUAAGCACCGGCUAACUCUGUGCCAGCAGCCGCGGUAAUACAGAGGGUGCGAGCGUUAAUCGGAUUUACUGGGCGUAAAGCGUGCGUAGGCGGCUUUUUAAGUCGGAUGUGAAAUCCCUGAGCUUAACUUAGGAAUUGCAUUCGAUACUGGAAAGCUAGAGUAUGGGAGAGGAUGGUAGAAUUCCAGGUGUAGCGGUGAAAUGCGUAGAGAUCUGGAGGAAUACCGAUGGCGAAGGCAGCCAUCUGGCCUAAUACUGACGCUGAGGUACGAAAGCAUGGGGAGCAAACAGGAUUAGAUACCCUGGUAGUCCAUGCCGUAAACGAUGUCUACUAGCCGUUGGGGCCUUUGAGGCUUUAGUGGCGCAGCU